rnacentral:tRNA from 1 species
GUAGAUAUAAUUUAACCAAAAUGCUAGAUUGUGAUUCUAGAAACAGAGGUUAAACCCCUCUUAUUUACC